GUCGAACGCUGGCGGCGUGCCUAAUACAUGCAAGUAGAACGCAGUUGCGAACGGGUGAGUAACGCGUAGGUAACUGCCUGGUAGCGGGGGAUAACUAUUGGAAACGAUAGCUAAUACCGCAUACUACCAGAUGGACCUGCGUUGUAUUAGCUAGUUGGUGAGGUAACGGCUCACCAAGGCAAAGAUACAUAGCCGACCUGGAGGGGUGAUCGGCCAAAAUGGUAAUGGGACACGGCCCAAGCUCCUACGGGAGGGAGCAGUAGGGGAACUUCGGCAAUGGGGGGAAACCUGACCGAACAACGCCGCGGGAGUGAAGAAGGGUUUCGGGUCGGAAAGCUAUGUUGUGAAGGGAGCGGUACUUAACCAGAAAGGGACGGCUAACUACGUGCCAGCAGCCGCGGUAAUAC
rnacentral:rRNA from 1 species